GGAUACUGUUCAUACUGAUGAUGUGGAUACUGUUCAUACUGAUGAUAUAAUGCUGAUAAUGUGGAUAUUUAUAAUGUAGAUGCCCCGGAUGAUCAACCAGGGACUAAUAGAGCUGGACAGUGCCAUGAUGUGAAUACUGUUGAUACUGAUGAUGUGGAUGCUGAUGAUGUGGGUGAUGAUAAUGUGGAUGCCUCCGGACUGAAAUAGCUGGACAGUGCCAUGAUGUGAAUACUGAUGAUGUGGAUGCUGAUGAUGUGGAUGCUGAUGAUGUGGAUGCCUCCGUUGAUCAACCAGUGACUGAAAUAGCUGGACAGUGUCAUGAUGUGAAUACUGUUGAUACUGAUGAUGUGGAUGCUGAUGAUGUGGAUGUUGAUAAUGUUGAUGCCUCCGUUGAUCAACCAGGGACUGAAAUAGGUACACUUAUCGUUUUUAUAAUAUAAGAUGAACGGGUGCCUGAUAUUUGAUGUUUUCAUGUAUAGA